GGGGUUGUAGCUCAGCGGUAGAGCACUUGCCUAGCAUGUUCGAGGCCCUGGUUCGAUUCGCAACACCA
rnacentral:tRNA from 1 species